rnacentral:rRNA from 1 species
ACGAACGCUGGCGGCAUGCCCAAUAGAGUUAAAGUCGAACGAGAUCUUCGCAUCUAGUGGCGCACGGGUGCGUAACGCGUGGGAAUCUGCCCUUGGGUUCGUAAUAACUUCUGGAAACGGAAGCUAAUACCGGAUGAUAGACGUAAGUCCAAAGAUUUAUCGCCCAAGGAUGAGCCCGCGUAGGAUUAGGUAGUUGGUGAGGUAAAGGCUCACCAAGCCGACGAUCCUUAGCUGGUCUGAGAGGAUGAUCAGCCACACUGGGACUGAGACACGGACCAGACUCCUACGGGAGGCAGCCAGUAGGGAACAUUGGACAAUGGGCGAAAGCCUGAUCCAGCAAUGCCGCGUGAGUGAUGAAGGCCUUAGAGGUUGUAAAGCUCUUUUACCCGGGAUGAUAAUGACAGUACCGGGAGAAUAAGCUCCGGACUAACUCCGUGCACAGACACGCCGCGGUAAUACGGAAGGGAGCUAGACAGUUGUUCGGAAUUUACUUGGGCCGUAAAGCAGCACAGUA